AGCUUUGUGCAGUGGCAGUAUCGUAGCCAAUGAGGUUUAUCAAUUAGCAAUUAUUGCUAAUUGGAAAACUUCACAACACCCUGCUGUGACGACUUGUAAUAGAGUUGGCAUUGGCAUUUUUUGAUGGUCCCUACAGGGA
rnacentral:snRNA from 1 species